AGUCGAGCGGUAUAAUAUCUUUCGGGAUAUUAGAGAGCGGCGCACGGGUGAGUAACGCGUACACUACCUACCUAUAAGUACGGGAUAGCCCUGGGAAACUGGGAUUAAUACUGUAUGUGAUUAUUUAUUUUAGAUGAGUAAUUAAAGAAUUUCGCUUAUAGAUGGGUGUGCGUAUGAUUAGCUAGUUGGUGUGGUGACGGCAUACCAAGGCGACGAUCAUUAGGGGGCGUGAGAGCGUGAUCCCCCACACGGGUACUGAGACACGGACCCGACUCCUACGGGAGGCAGCAGUAAGGAAUAUUGGACAAUGGGCGCAAGCCUGAUCCAGCCAUCCCGCGUGCAGGAAGACAGCCCUAUGGGUUUUAAACUGCUUUUGGAAGGGAAGAAACGCCUAUAUUUAUAUGGGUUUGACGGUACCUUCAGAAUAAGCACCGGCUAACUCCGUGCCAGCAGCCGCGGUAAUACGGAGGGUGCGAGCGUUAUCCGGAAUUACUGGGUUUAAAGGGUGCGUAGGCGGAAGAUUAAGUCAGAGGUGAAAGCUUUCAGCUUAACUGGGAAAUUGCCUUUGAUACUGAUUUUCUUGAAAUAUGUUGAGGUUAGCAGAAUGUGGCAUGUAGCGGUGAAAUGCAUAGAUAUGCCAUAGAAUAC
rnacentral:rRNA from 1 species